UACGGAGGAUGCAAGCGUUAUCCGGAAUUAUUGGGCGUAAAGCGUCCGCAGGUGGCUAGACAAGUCUGCUGUCAAAGACUGGAGCUCAACUCCGGGCAGGCGGUAGAAACUGUCGAGCUAGAGAACGGUAGGGGUAAAGGGAAUUCCCAGUGUAGCGGUGUAAUUCGUAGAGAUUGGGAAGAACACCAGUGGCGACGGCGCGCUACCGGGCCGUAACUGACGCUCAGGGACGAAAGCUAGGGGAGCGAAAGGG
rnacentral:rRNA from 1 species